GACGUAGGGCGCGAGCGUUGUCCGGAUUUAUUGGGCGUAAAGAGCUCGUAGGCGGCUUGUCGCGUCGACUGUGAAAACCGUGGCUCAACCAUGUGGUCUGCAGUCGAUACGGGCAGGCUAGAAUUCGGUAGGGGAGACUGGAAUUCCUGGUGUAGCGGUGAAAUGCGCAGAUAUCAGGAGGAACACCGGUGGCGAAGGCGGGUCUCUGGGCCGAUAUUGACGCUGAGGAGCGAAAGCGUGGGGAGCGAACAGG
rnacentral:rRNA from 1 species